GGUGCAACAACAAUGCGCCGAGCCUGAUGAAAGCUGCCAUCAAUGAGCCUGAACCUGUGCCUGUGUUCGUGAGUGGAGUGCUCCCUGUUUGUUUGAGACAGUGUGUGUGUGUGUGUGUGUGUGUGUGUGUGUGUGUGUGUGUGUUCGUGAGUGGAGUGCUCCCUGUUUGUUUGAGACAGUGUGUGUGUGUGUGUGUGAGUGGAGUGCUCCCUGCUUGUUUGAGACAGUGUGUGUGUGUGUGUGUGUGUGUGUGUUGCUCCCUGUUUGUUUGAGACAGUGUGUGUGUGUGUGUGUGUGUGUGUGUGUUGCUCCCUGCUUGUUUGAGACAGUGUGUGUGUGUGUGAGUGGAGUGCUCCCUGCUUGUUUGAGACAGUGUG
ensembl:lncRNA